UCUGCGCGCAAGGAUUUCAUUCCUAACUCAAAUGAAAGCAGCGCCCAGAUUUCUUUAUAUAGCCAUGGACUUACGUAGAUGAACAGCCCAGUCUAGCGCCAAUCUCAUCUCCUCUCCUCCUCGAUUUCAUGGCAUCGGACAGGGGAGAUGAGGGACAUCGUCAUCCGCCGCCUCUUGGCCUCCGGGGCCUGACUCGCACUGCCUUCCUUCCUCAUUCCGGCGAUGGCGGCGGCCUUCCUCCACUUCGUACUUGUCAUGGCGGCGGCCUUCCUCCACUUGGUCUUGCAGGUCGAGGACCACUGUCGUCGUUCUCCAUUGGAACGGCUGCCUCUACACCGGUGUCCAGCCCCAGCGUCGGAGGGAGACACCGCGUCGGUCUGUCGCACCCACCUCGAUCUCCUUCUCCAAACCAGGCAGGCUCGUCGAACUGGGCCACCUCGCCGGGCGGGAGCGGCAGUGCAAGCGCCACCGGAAGGACGUCCUCCUACGUCGGCUUGAACAUCAUGAAUGGCUCCAUCUGCGUCGGACCAAAUUUGUCCGUAUUCUGCACGAGAGGUUCGUAGUCCUUCUUGCCUGAUCAGGAUAUGUUGUCUUGUUCAACGAUUGCAUCAGGAAACUGCCUGCGAGUCACUGCUGCAGGAUGUUUGCCUCCGCUGAUCUCCUUCCUUGUAGCUGUUUACUGUUUUGCUGUUGUCUUAGUUCUUUCUAUGUUGUUUUGUUCUGAACUAUCUUUCAGUUUGGGGAGUCAGGUUCUGUGAGCCGUGUAAUGUACGUACGUAAAUCUUAGCUCUCCAUCGAUUGUGUGACGUGAAUAAAAGGCCUUCGUCAGCCACAGCAUGAGAGACGCUAUGUUUCGUUAGGAAUAAUUUGUUCGGUGACCGUAUUUUUUUCUUGUUUGGCCGUACAUAAGAUCAGCUAUAUGGAUUCUGAAUUGCUUGUUUUUGCUAUGUAGACCGUACCAGUGAGUUUGCUGCAUCUACUAACGGCAGAGAAGGAGGCUGGCGUGGCGCUGGAUAUAAUCCAAAUUUUGAGAACGCUGACGAGUAUCCUCCACGGCUGGAACAUGUAGAGGCACCUUCUGCAAAAGAGAUUGAUUUGAAUGCUUUGGCUAACAAGAAUAACAGAGAACAGUACAUUGUCGUAGACAAGCGUAAUAUUUACGCUAUGUUGCUUGCUCGAAAUGGAGAGUGUGGAAGGUUAAAGGAUGGGGUUUUGGAUUCUGUUGUACGUGAUGGAAAUUGUUCUCGGAGGUGCGUGAGUAGGAUUUGGAAAGAAACGAAGACAGGAGGUGGCGUUAACUCUAUCAAGAACAAUUUGAAGUUAAAAACGGGAAGGAAGAAAAUGAGUUUGGAUAUUGAGGCAUUAGAAGCCAUUCCACCUGGUGAGAGGACCACAAUUCGACAAGUUGCGGCUGGACUUAACAUGUCCAAAAGCACAGUUCACCAUAGGUUGAAGGAGAAGGUAAUGAGACGAGUUUCAAAUGAACUGAAACCUUCAUUAACUGAAGCCAACAAGAAGGCACGUCUGGCGUAUUGCCUUGACAAUUUGGAGCCAAGUUCAUUGGAGGACAAUCCCACUUUUAAAGCUAGUUUUAACAAGGUUCAUUUGGAUGAGAAGAUCUUCUACCGCACAAGGAAGACACAGAAAAUGUACUUGAGUCAUAGAGAGGAAGCACCAAAAAGAGAAUGCAAACAUAAAAACUACAUCCAGCAGAUCAUGUUCUUGUCGGCUAUGGCAAGGCCAAGGUAUGAUUCUCAAGGAAAUUGUGUGUUUGAUGGAAAAAUAGGUGUGUGAGCAUUUGUUGAUUGGGUGCAAGCUCAAAAGAAGAGUGC